UGGGCGUAAGCGCGCGCAGGUGGUUUCUUAAGUCUGAUGUGAAAGCCCACGGCUCAACCGUGGAGGGUCAUUGGAAACUGGGAGACUUGAGUGCAGAAGAGGAAAGUGGAAUUCCAUGUGUAGCGGUGAAAUGCGUAGAGAUAUGGAGGAACACCAGUGGCGAAGGCGACUUUCUGGUCUGUAACUGACACUGAGGCGCGAAAGCGUGGGGAGCAAACAGGAUUAGAUACCCUGGUAGUCCACGCCGUAAACGAUGAGUGCUAAGUGUUAGAGGGUUUCCGCCCUUUAGUGCUGAAGUUAACGCAUUAAGCACUCCGCCUGGGGAGUACGGCCGCAAGGCUGAAACUCAAAGGAAUUGACGGGGGCCCGCACAAGCGGUGGAGCAUGUGGUU
rnacentral:rRNA from 1 species